GCGGGACGAGGGCAGUGGCUGAGCAGGGAGUGGUCUGGGCAAGAGAGCUGCAGGCGCUCUGUUUCAGCCCUCUCUAUUUGUCUGAAGGUUUCUUGCCAUGAUUGUGCAGAGGAUGGAGAAGCUUGAGGCUCUUGAAGAGAUCAAAUGCCUCCCCCAGCAGGCUGAGCCAGAACAGCAGCAGCUGGGAAAGAAGAGACACCCAGGCACCCGGAACAGCUCAAGCGAAGACACUGCUUUAGAAAGGAAUGCAUGGUAGUAACACAGGUUACCCAGUACAUGCAGAUUUACACAGUCAUGUCAAUAGCACUCAGUGUGUCUGCUGUCAGCUGUGAAACACGUCCUUCGUGCUUGCUGAUGAUAAAAAUCCGCAUAACUCGCAGCAGCUCUGUCUUUUGUGAGGCGUUCAUUCAGGCAGACCCUCUUGUGAACGUUGUUCAUGGGCUCUUCCAUUUGUGCUCUCAGAGCAGGAAACUCUUACUUAGCCCGGUGGCCAACACUCUUUGCCAUGGAGAACAUUCACAAAUGGGAAUUUUACUUACUUUUCCCUGUAGGAACUGAACAGACCAAUCAGUCUUCAGUUGAUGGGAAGAAGACCAGAAGACCUCUGUGUACUUCAGGGGUCUCCCGGGAGAGCUCGAAGGUCAUGGAUAGUUCCACAUGCCAAAGCACCUCAUCUCAGGAAAAAGAUGCUACUCAGACAGCUGUUGAGGGGAGACCUGUGAGUAGGAGCUGGGUGGAUGUGGUGGCUCUCCUUUGCGGCAGCGCAUUGGCGCUCAGGACUGCUGGGAGGGCGCUGCCGCACACACAGCCUCUCUCGGCUCGUGACGCAUAGUGGGUUGUCAGAGUGUCUCCUGAGAAAUCCCCUGGCAACUAGGAAGGGAUCUUCUCAGCCUGGGAGUCUCUGUCUUGAACAAUUAGGAGGGGUCUGGCUUCCUGACCUGCGGGGCACUUAUUUCCACCUCCGGCUGAGACCACUCCCCAGGAAUUCAGCUUGUCUUGGAGCCAGCUGUUCCAGUGUGCACCAUGUCCUAAUCCUGAGGGUGAAGAAAUUUGGGGGCUGAAUCACAAUUCCUGCCUGUUUUUGUUGUGUCAUGAAGCUUAUUCUUUAAUGCAUUUCUUAACUCUUCAGGAAGAAGAAACUCUGUCCAGCAGCAAGCUGCUGAGCUCCCAAGAGCCUGCUCGUCAGGAACUUCAGAGUCCUGAAGACAGCUUGAGUGAGCCAUCGCAGGAGGACCAAGACACUGAAAACCAAGAAGGCAGUACAGAGGAUUCUUCUAGACAGCUGUGUCUCUGUCCUGAGACAAGAACAUCCCUCUCUUCAGGAGCCUCUGAAGAAGACAAUGAGACAAAGAGAGCAGAAGAUUUUUGCAGGUAUGACAUCAGCAUCCCCCUACAUCUCAGAAGAUAGCAGCUGUCAUGCUCUGACAUGGUUUAGGGGUACCCACUGAUAGGGUUCAGAAGACUUUCUUCUCUUUAUCCUGAGCCUUUCCUGCCUCACCAUCACUGCCCCCUGCCCCAUACUUAGUUCACUCCUCUAGCUUCCUGGUGGAAGGGCUUUAUUCUCAAAGCACCCAAAUGAGAAAGAGCUGCGGGAUGCCUCCGGGGUGUCUCCACCAACACAUCCUGCGCCCACAGGCUCCGGAGCCUCAUUUAAUCUCUGACCCUUCCCCACGGACCUUGCCUGAGCUACGCCACAGGGGGCCUGUGCCCGACCUUGCUGAUUCUGCCCUUGCCUUGCCCACCUGAUUUCCUGGCUUGUCCGUGACCUGCCUCGUCGCUAUGGGCUUGCUGGCAACUGCCAAAGUGUCAGCUGGCCCUGGUUACUGUCACCACUGUUAUGGAAAUUAGGCUUGUUGGCCACCAUAACAGGGCUCGACCCUAGGUUCCCGCAAGUAAAGUUCAGAGCCAAAUCAAAACAAAUUAAAUUUUAAUCACGCGCGUGCCAUAAUUACAGCUCGAGCUGGGUGCCUCCUAAGAGGGACCCUAACAUAAACAAAUCCUGGGCAAUUACAGUUUUUUCAACUUACAUUUCCCACCCCUCACGCGAUAGUUAGACCAAUAGUAAUUUUUUGGCCUGGGGUCUCCUGCUCCUCAUUGGGUCUCAUCGUCAUUCUGAGGUAAGCUGUUUUUCUCCUUAUUUUUGUUUUUUGCGGUCUCUGAUGACGGUUGUACCUCUGUUUUUGUUGGGUCUUACUGUUGUGUCUUAAGGUCCUGAGGAGGACGUGAUUCUAAAUCAUAACAAUUAACACUGCCCCAGCAGUGAGCUGAGGCUUUGUCCCUCAAGGUCCUAAUGCCCUGCGCUGGUCUUCUUUCAAAGCCUUGACACCCUCCCUUUCGGGGUGUGAGAUACAUUCCUGCAGACACCCUCCCUUUCGGGGUGUGAGAGGCAGGAAUGCAGACUGCUUGUAACUUCCUUAUCUUCCUAGCUUGAACCAGCUCUGAGGCCCUUUUCUUACUGGACUAAGUAAAAGUUCAUUAUUUUAUCUAAGUGCGGCCUAAGGCUUCAGCAAAUUUAGCUACUCAUGCUAAGCAAAUGUUAUAGAAGUUGUGCUAAGCAGCUACCUCUAGACAGUUUCAGUUUGCUAUUCUUUAACAGUUCCCCCCUUUGUUUUUAUGAAGCAUCCCUGCUAAUACUUUAAACAGAGUUCUCAAAGCCUUGCAAGGCGUACUAUCACGUUCCAUAAUCUUAUGCAUGAUAUGAUCGUAAGCAAUAGGCAUAACACAGUUAAAGUUAGCACAACUACUACUGGGUGCAACACAUGAUUAUAAACGCUGUUGUAGUUGGUGACCACCCUAGAAGAGUUUCCCAGCCAUGAUGUUCUCCGUCCCUUUUUAUCCUUUCCGAGACGUGGUGUAUCUCUUCCGCAUCAUGACGAAUGGUGAUUAGAGUUUUCUGUCCACUGUUUCGGAUGCGUUCUAGCAGUCAACGCAAAUCAUCAUGUUAUAGUAGUUUCUUUACCAGGGUGAGAUUCAUCCCAAUGGGGGUAGGUAGUAAAUUUUGAAUUAAUGUAUGAGUAGAUUGUAACAAUUGAUAAGAUCUAAUAGGAGCUGAAUAAUUAAAGUCGCAUCCCAUAAUCUUGGGUAAAGUUACAAAUACAAAUAUUUGAGUGAUGACUUGUAUCUACAGCAAUGUUAUCUAUGAAUAUAAGAUUACAAAGUGUUCUUA